rnacentral:misc_RNA from 1 species
CUCAAAGUAAAACUUUUGCGGAGGAAUUAAUUGAUGCAGUCGAAGUCGACUGGCGAUCGUUAUUAAAGUCGUAACAGGAAUUUGCUCGUACGCUUUUUUCUAGUAUUCUACCGCUCGUACAACGUAACGACGUGACUGCAAUUCGCCGAGAGAGAUCGUCGCAUUGUGCAGCAGCGAUUGGCAUAUAGGUUAUGUCAAACUACCAAGUACGAAAGAAUCCUUCGAUCGUCGCGGCGUAAAGCGGUCGUUAGUUUACCGAACAUUCGGCUAGAGCAUUGUCCAAGGUCAAUCGACUUUUCGCGCAGCGUUGGAACGCCCGCGCCGUGGCGAAAUCGUCGCGAUUCAGGGAUUUUUCGUGUCGGAGAAGUGCUCGUGUGCAGCGCUACCGCCAUUUUACUUCCCCCAUACACCUGACAUGUCUUUCUAAUGUUAUUAUCGAUGAAUGUUGAAAUUUGUGCGUGAAACUGCUUUGACUUCGAGUUGAUCGCGCGAGGAGAGCGAGUUCACCUGAGGAAGAGAUACCGCUGUGUCUGAUUGGCGGAACGACCGUCGCUUUGUUGGAAGCGAUUGCCAUUGUUCCAACCUCAUUGCUCGGAUCGAGCGAAAUUCACACAGGGUUGACACAGGUAGCCCCAGGAUAGGGAUCGCGAGCGAUUUGAUCCGCUGCCAGGGCAGGAAUAUGUCGCGAGGCUCGUCCGAGGAACGCUUCUGGUCGUGCCGCUGAAACUCUGUCACGGUAUCUUGCACGGUAUCCUGUUAUCGAUGUAACGAGCGAACCUAACCAAAAAACAUCAUUGAUCAGAGCAACGUUGUGUGUGCUUGUGUCAAUAGUGGAGGGCUCUCGCUCGAUGAUAUGGCUCUGGUUCCGCCUCUGAGAUCGUCCAGACGCAGAAAUCCAGCAGUGUUGAUCGUCCUGACGUCUGUACGAUACACGAUGACGCAGUUGCUCAAACAUGUGUAGGGCAUGUUCGGUGUAAACUACUAUGCGAGGUGGAAGAGAUCUGGACAGAAGCGGCAAUCAAUGAAGGUCCCUAUUUCCGAAAACUCAAACAUGGACAAUAAAUUGAAGUUUUCGGAUCGCCUGAAGGCUUUGCUGAAAACCGAGGCACACGAAGAUGUUGAUCCGUACAUUUUUAGUGAACCAGAACCAUUUGCUACAGGAGCGGGAAGAAAUGCCACGCUGGUCCCGUCUACGCAUUCUAAAGUGAUGCAAAGCUGCAAGAACAACAAGUCUAAGGGGAAAUGUGCGAAGCAGAGGAUAAGAGUAGCACCUGUGCUGGACGCAGCCUACAAGACUGUCGGAGUGAACGCUAUAGGAGAGGCGAGCGUCGAGUGUGGUGCUGGAGAGAAUCAUAAAUUUUCUAAUCUAAUUCAAUCUAGACAGCGGCACAUUGAGAAUCUGAAAAGAUUAAGGUCCAAGAAGCAAAGCCGGGACCACACUCUGUUGUAUUAUCCUAGAGCUGGGGAUGAGAUAUUCGACAGUGAUUCGAGCGGAGACGAGAUGACGAUCCAUCAGCGUCAUUGGUUCUCCGGUGAAUCCGCCACGACGUUAAAUCGCGCAGCUCGACUGUCCCAACUGCGUCUGCAACUGCAACGGCAAUUGCUUCAGUUGCACAUCGACGGAGGUGGUACUGAACUGAUACUGCAACACAGAGUGAGAUGCCUGUUGGAGGCAGCGUCGAGAGAUCCCGCUUCCACCGCGAGGGCUUUGAUCGAUUCUCCAGGUACCAGCAAGGUACUCGACGGACCGCUGCUGGUUGGUGGACCAUGCGGAGCGGAAGGAUGCCAACAAACCUCCUUGCCUUGUACCCGGCAUUGCUCCCGUCAUAUUAUGUUAAACGGAGAUCAGCUGUUAUUUGAGCAUUGCACUGCCAAGUUUAGUGACAACACACAGUGUUGCGUUCCUGUAUUCGAUGUCGCGCACGAAUUACCUCUUUGUCCGGAACACGCAAGGAAGAGGGACAAUUAUCACCGUAAAGCCCAAGAAUCCAAACCAAAGAAGGCACGUAAAAAGCCAGCCUCUCCCACUAUCCCGGCGAAGCCUAAACCCAAGUCGAAGCCGAAGAAGCGCAAACGGCCGCCCUCCAACAAGAUAGAGACCAAGGGUGCCACAUUAUUGCACGAGGAGAGUCAUUACAUGAGCCAAAUAAAUUGUAGUGAAAAUCACACCAAGACAUUAAACAACCUGAAUGUUCCGCAGGGAAGUUCAAAUACGUCUAACUUAAAUCUAGGAUUGGGAUUAGGCUCUCUCGGACUUGGCGGAGGACUCAAGGUUGAGCUUGGAGAUAACGAGGUGUUCGCUUCUCUGGAUUCUGCUGAGCACGAUUUUGGCACCGUGCUCAACAACUUACCGCCCGAUGCUUUUAACGACUUGUUUAUCGAGGGUAGAAAUGGAGAUUACGAGCCGUCAAGAGAGGAGGAAGAGGAAUUGCAACGGGCUUUGGACGAAGUUGAUAAAGAUGUACGGAAUUUGGAAAGGAUGGGGCAAACGCAUGGACUCUUGGAGCCGGCAUUGCUCGCCCAGCUUAUGUCGGACAUCGCCUCGUAGCCCCGCUAAUCUUAAUACAACAAUUUCUCUGGACAUGAAUUCGCGUGUGUUCCUUGUAAUGUAGAAAGAAGGAGGUACUGUUUGUGUCUGUGCUGCUAAACGUAAGAUUGCGUUGUAGACUGUUAUUACGUAGCCACGCAAGUCCGAGAUAAUGGCAGGGAUUGACAUACAGAAAGUAAAAACGAAAAAGAAAAAAGAAAGAAAAAAAAUACAAUAGCGAACUUAUCAAUUUAGUGUAAACUGCAUCGGGUACAACGCCGCGGGUAGGUUUAUGUCAAACGAGUAGCAAUGUAUAAACCGAGAGAAUUCCAUCCUUUUUGACAAAUAAUCACGGACAUCAUCAUCAUUAUAAUACUUGCGAUUAUAUUUCUAGUUUAUUUGCAGAUAUUUUGACUUACUUGCACUUGGAGAAAUUUGCUUAGAAAAAUUGUUCUAGCUGUAAUUGACGUGUACAACAACGAGAGUGUAGAACGUAUGACGGGGUAAAAAGAGGAAAUGUGGAUAAUGUUACGUAAAUGGUUCACAAACUAGGUUCCAACACACACACACACACACACACACACACACACACACACACACACACACACACACACACACACACACGAGCUAAACAAGAUAUAUAAUUUUCAUUUUUAUAUAUGGCUUGUCUCUGCUGUACGAAGAACAAGGAUAAUCUAAAUUACGUUACUAAUAGCGUCCAUAUUUAUUGAAUUGCCCGUAAUGUAUAGCUAAUUACUGAUUAUUCAAAUAAUAGGUACAAAAGUAUUUUUAUGACUGAUUUAUAACGAUUUUGUUUGUUAUUAAUUGCACUGUGCAAAUUGCGGAAAAGAAAAAUCUGUACAAAACCAGACAUGAGCUACAAAUUAUAGUACAGACUAAUUGGAGUUCGAAACGAUUAACAAAAUUAGAAGUAGCAUUAUUUUCUUGUAAAGGAUGAACGUAGCUUGAAAAAAGUUUAACGAUUCAAUUUGGAACACGAAGCGUGAAGAAUCUUGAGAAAUACUAUCGAAAUUUUAUUUAAAUAAAAUACAUUUUUCCACAA